rnacentral:sRNA from 1 species
GAAUGUGAGGGUGACCUGGCUGUGACCCUGCCACACCAUUGAUUGCCAAGGCCCAUUAGACUGAAGUGGUGGUCCGGUGUCUUCUUUCUCCCUCACCUCCAUGUGGGUCCGUCAGGCUUUAAGUUGCCGGCUCAGACAACAGGAAUGUCCUUCCCUGAUAAAAGAGGAUUUGUCCUCAGUAGGUGCAGGUGGUGUGAGCACUGCUCAGGGAGUCCCCGAGACAGGGCGAUUUCUGUGACCCUGAAAUGCAUCCCAAAGUGUUGAGAUGAACGCUGUGG